rnacentral:rRNA from 1 species
ACUCAAAUGAAUAGACGGGGGCCCGCACAAGCAGUGGAGCAUGUGGUUUAAUUCGAUGCAACGCGAAGAACCUUACCCAGGUUAGAAGUGCAGUAGACGAUACUAGAGAUAGUAUUUCCCGUAAGGGCUGCUGUAUAGGUGCUGCAUGGCUGUCGUCAGCUCGUGCCGUGAGGUGUUGGGUUAAGUCCCGCAACGAGCGCAACCCUUAUCAUUAGUUGCCAACACGUAAGGUGGGGACUCUAGUGAGACUGCCUAGGUUAACUAGGAGGAAGGUGAGGAUGACGUCAAGUCCGCAUGGCCUUUAUGUCUGGGGCUACACACGUGCUACAAUGGUCGGUACAGAGGGCAGCAAAAUCGCGAGAUGGAGCAAAUCCCAGAAAGCCGAUCUCAGUUCAGAUUGUAGUCUGCAACUCGACUACAUGAAGUCGGAAUUGCUAGUAAUGGCGGGUCAGCAACACCGCCGUGAAUACGUUCCCGGGCCUUGCACACACCGCCCGU